rnacentral:rRNA from 1 species
UACGGAGGGGGCUAGCGUUGUUCGGAAUUACUGGGCGUAAAGCGCACGUAGGCGGCUUUGCAAGUUAGAGGUGAAAGCCCGGGGCUCAACUCCGGAAUUGCCUUUAAAACUGCAUCGCUAGAAUUGUGGAGAGGUAAGUGGAAUUCCGAAUGUAGAGGUGAAAUUCGUAGAUAUUCGGAAGAACACCAGUGGCGAAGGCGACUU